CCGGUUUGAACUCAGAUCAUGUGCGGGGUAGAGGUCGAACAGACCUUGUGAAAAUAGCUUCUGCACUAUUUGUAGCCGCAAUUCAACAUCGAGGUCGCAAACAAUUAUUUUAAUAAGGGCUUAAAUAAUUAUAACGCUGUUAUCCCUAGAGUACCUUAUUCGUCUAAUUUAAUAAAGAUCAUUGUUAAUAUAAAUAGUCCUAUUUAAAUUUACCCCAAAUAAACU
rnacentral:rRNA from 1 species